ACACACACACACACACACACACACACACACACACACACGCACACACACACACACACACACUCACUCGCGCACACAGUAAGGUGAAUUGAAUGAAGACUUUUUUCGUUUAGAAGUUUGAAUCUAAAUCAGUCAAAUCAGACUCAUUCCUUUAAUUAAAAUGAGGGAGGUCAUUUAAGAUCAAACACAGAGCUGAAAUAGCCUCUCACUGUUACCAAGAAGACCACAGGGUGCCGAACCUGCCAGGUGGUUUUCUUAAUUAGUUAAUUGGUUGCAUCUGGUGUGUUUCACUUAAAAGGGAACCGGACAGCACAUUUGUUUGUACUGUCUCUUCCAGUUUCACAGGUUAAAGACUUUUUGAAGUAAAGAGGAGCAUCUCCUCUGAACCUGUUGUCUAUCAUGGAUAUCUAACUGCAGUUCUGUGAGUAACCCAACGUGACCAUGAAGCAUAACUGCAAACUGUAAGUCAUUAAUUUCUCAUUACUCUGGGCACAUUGAUGUAUUUUGGCUUCCUGGUGAGUUAACCGGUUAAGGUUGUUUUAUUGGUUCAUUGGUUACUUAGGUGUUUGGUUUAUGUUGGUUUAAAUGAUUUGUUAAAAUGGUUACAGGCUCCAAGUUAUUGUUGUAAGCUGGAGUAAUGGGUUGGGUUCUGAUAUCUUCAGUCUUCUUUCAUUCUACUCUCCUGAGCUCUGCAUCUUCAUUACAUGAGUUGCUUUACUAAUGAGGGUGUGGUCUGAGUGAUCAGAGGUGCAUACUGGGGUAAAGAGACGUCUCGAGUCUACAGGUCUGUAGACACGCCCCCUCAGGGGAAACCGAGUGUUUGAGAAACUGUCGUGUCGUCAGUUACAUGGACUGGAAUGUUCUUAAAGAUGGAGACAGGGUUUCAGAAGGAGAAACAACAGGGGGAGAUGUGGGGGCUCCUCAUCUCAACGACUAAAACACAACUUCAGUCUGACAGAGAACCAUGGAACACAUUCAACAGUCCCCUCCAGGCAUCGUGACUCCUCAGGAACGGUUUCAUUUCCAAGGAGUCUUAUUUGGGGCCAUCCCCAUAUGGAUCCUGCUCCUCAAGAGCCACCCCCCUCCACUGGGUGGUCUUCUGAACAGAUGAUCUCCUUCCUGUCCUUAGGCUGACUAAAGCUGCACCGUUUGCAUCUGUGAAGGCCCCUCAUUCAGGAAACCACUGGACUACAAAGACAUGACUUCAGAAAUGUUGAAUCCACCUAGGACCCAUUUUGGAGACGCCAAGCAUAAUCCAUCACCAAUGUGGGACGCCACUGAAGAAUGUUGUACAUAAUUUACGUCUCUGGAGACAUUGGUUGUUCUGUUCUGGGUGCCCUGGCAGGAGAGCUGGGGGGGGGGGGGGGGGAAAUGUUAUUUGCUAUGAGGUUUUUACCCUGCAUGAUUGUUUGGCCUUUUAUGGCUCAGAGGUGUGUGUUUGGGUUUGACAUGAGAUGGAAGAUUUUUGAGGUGUGUGUGUGUGGAGGCCUGGUGCGAGUGUGUGUGCUUAUGUGGAGGCCUGGUGCGUGUGCGUGUGUGUGUGUGUGUGUGUGCCUGUCCUGGGUUCUAUGUGUGUCCGGCUUGCUUUGACAGUGAUAAUGUUCAUACGGGGGUCUGUGUGAUUGGCUUGGGAUAUUGGAAUGGUCAACUAAAUCAUACCUGAUGGAUGGCCGCACGUUUACUUAAGGGCCUCCAGUAGACAUGAAGAGCCCUGAGCGAUGCUCCGGAGCGAGAUCCAACACACUGGGCAGGAAGGAGAGUGUCCAACUCAAGUGUAAAAGGAUGCAAGCGGCGUGUUCAGAGCAGUGACUUCAAACUAGGACUACACCAAUCAGGAUCAAUGGAGGAUGGACACCAAAAGGGAUUCCACAAGGAGAGUCUGAUGUUGGAAAGGGACCUAAAUGGAUAUUCAAGAUGACCUUCAGACCUGUAAUGAGACGGCUCUUCCUACCUGGCUGGAUUGAUGGAGAGCCCUGUGGAUCUUGUCUUGCUCCCAUUUGCACGUCUUCUCAGGCUGAACUGUAAUUGUUUCGGACAGGACUAGCUGAACGAUUGGUUCCCUUAAAUCAGAACCAAUCCGGGAACUCGAGCUAGUGCGCUCUUCGAGCUGAAGUUGUGCCCUUCAGUUGAGGGGGUAAGGAAACCUUCACUGGGGCUUCAAGGUGUAAAGAGGAGAAUGUUUCAAAGUGUUCCAUGGUACUCUGAUGACGCCCGUUGUUGUGUUCCGCUGGCUGCGUUCCGCUGGCUGCGAGGGAGAACCCUCACAUCUUCCUCUUGGUCUUUCUCCUCUGAGAAUCCUGGCGCCAUCUUGAAGGAUAUUCCAGCUCAUGUAACUGAUGUCACGACAGAUUCUCAAACACUUGGGUUCUCCUGAGGGGCGUGUCUACGGAACUGAAGACUUCAGACAGCACUGUAUCCCAGCAUGCACCUCUGCUCACUCAGACCACACCCCCAUGAGUAGGAUGCAACACUCUAGUGAUGGAGAUGUAGAGUUUUAUAAGUAGCGAGGGAGCAGACUAAGGUAAUGGAAUGUCAAGUCUGUAAAUCUUUAUUGUGGGCAGUGCUUUCACUCAGAUUCCUACUUCUCACUGGAGCUGUACAUGUGUUGGCUAGCUGGCAUGAUUUGCUGUUGGUGUUGAGGCGGUCAGGGUGACGUUGCAGGCCUAUGGUCGGCUCUCUUGGAGCUCAACGUUUAGAUUUGCUCUGUAUGGUUUGAAUAAUCUAGAUAAUUGUAAAAUGUAGACACGGUUUUGUAUUGAAUAAUUCCCGGAUUUUAGGUUUAAAGUUGUUGUGGGACGUACAUGGUAGUUUGGUUCUUCGUAUGGUUUUGAGUGAUAUAACUUGUACACACUGGGUGCAUAAUAAUGUAAAGGUACACUGAAUUGUAUUAAUGACCAACAGCAACAAACAGAUCUCCUUAAGGUAAGUCUGUUGGCUGUGUUUUAAUGAAGACCAUCGCUGGACUUCAGGAUCUUCCUUCCGCUCAGCUCAAGGUGAGGCGCUGGUUAUGUUUUUUCUUUGGUUGGUUCCGGCCGGAAUGUUCGGAUUCCAGUCGGACGGUUUGUGCUUCCCGCCGUGGAAGGUUCUGAGUGCGGUCACUUGAUUUAGUCCCAAUGGUUAGCAUCGAACGUUGUAGUCUUGACAACCAUAAGAAACCACCUGGCAGUUAGUUUGACGGGAGUCCCCUGAGGGAAUCUGGCGGAACGUUCUUGAUUGUAUUUGAGUAACCUCGAGGCGUUGCCAAUGGAAACUACUUUUCAGUCGGUUUCCAUUGGGAAUUGUUGCCCCUAUCUUAAACAACUAAAGUUUGAUAAUAAAUACAUACUGAGACGUACGUCGUACAAUAUGUUGGUAAUUUCCGAUGGUUGCGCCGUACUUUUAACCACGAUGACCUUGCGGGACUCUCACUGCGUACAAAACUGAGUUCUACUUGCGGGCCCAUUUUUGACGGGCUGAAGGCUGAAAAUCAUUUCAAGGUGGAAGAUAAUUUGACAUUUCUUCAACGGAACCCAGCUCCUGAAUACGGCAGAGUACGUUUGAUUUAAUAUCGAUACUGCUUAGUGUUCUUUGUUACUUCAGCUUUUGUACGUUCAAAAUAUCGGCUGACAAUUGCCACAGAAGUUAAACCCUACCCAAUGGAAUGACGUUAAACAACCACUUUGGUGCAGAGUUACCAACUGGAUAAUAUCAAAGCUAAAAUAAUGGCCGUCAUUCCCACAUGUUACAGUAGAAGAUACUCUAGAACUGUACAAGGUAAAAAAAGGUAACAUGUAGUUUGUCCCAAGGUGUCCGCCUCCUCACCCUGAGCAAGACCUCCACCUCCUCACCCAGAGCCAGACCUCCACCUCCUCACCCAGAGCCAGACCUCCACCUCCUCACCCAGAGCCAGACCUCCACCUCCUCACCCAGAGCCAGACCUCCACCUCCUCACCCAGAGCCAGACCUCCACCUCCUCACCCAGAGCCAGACCUCCACCUCCUCACCCAGAGCCAGACCUCCACCUCCUCACCCAGAGCCAGACCUCCACCUCCUCACCCAGAGCCAGACCUCUACCUCCUGUCAGAAGUCCUCCAGAACGGCUGAAAGGCGAGGCUGAGAGGCUGGGGACCGGAGGCUUGUGGUGCCAGGGUGGACCGGGACUGAGGCUGGAGACCAGGGGCCUGCAGCACCGGACCAGAGAACGUGUUUCUGGAGCGGAGACGUUGGGGCCGGACUUGCGCUGUUUGUUCCAGACCAGGACUCUGGCUGAGGAGAGCUGAUGGAGGAGCCAAGACUCUGGAGGACGACAUCACUCCACCAACAAGGAUCCUCACCAGGAAUCUGGAGGACUGAUGGAGAAGCCGUACGUCUGGAAGGCAAAUCCUGAGGACAACCAGGACUCUACCAUCAAGGAUUCCUCACACACCUGAGCUGAACCCCAACUGAACCUGACAUCCUGCUGGUCCCGUCUCCUCAGUUCAUCUUAGCCUCCUCUUCCAGAAGACCUGCUGAGCUCAGCAGUCUGAGGCUGAUGUAUCAAUGACCUCCAGUGGGAGUGAUCUUCUUGACCCCACAUGUAACCGUGUGCUUCCACACGCCUUUCCCUCACGUCUGUCACUAACCUCACUACUUCACUACUCUCUACUGCUUCCUCUUCUUUCUUCUCUGUGGUUCGAACCUUUACACGGAAGGCGCGUCUUCCUGCCCUCAGAGGGUUCAGCGUUAGGGUUGAGAGUCAGGGUUUAGAGUCAGGGACAGAGCUGGUCAGGACAAAGGGUGGUCAGGAGGUUUGUGGUCAACACAAACCUCUUCACUUGCUUUCGGAAUGGUGGUGACAUUUUGAAAAUAUUCAUUUGGGAAAAUGUUUUCCUCUGCUUCCCUUUACAAAAUUGUAUUAAACUUCAGUCAAGUGCUUUUGUUUAUAUAUUAAAAUUUGUUUUACCACAUGUUGAAGCAAGACUUCCGCUGUUUGUUCCAGACCAGGACUCUGUCUGAGGAGAGCUGCUGGAGGAGCUGAGACGCUGGAGGACGACUAGGAAUCGACCAACAAGGAUUCGACAAAGUGUUUCUGGAGCGGAGGUGAGCUGGUAGGGGAGCCGUGAAUCUGGAGGAUGACAUCACUCUACCAACCAGGGUUGUAAAUUUGUAUUAACCAAACAAAGUGGAAAUAAAGGGCUUAAAAAUAAGACAAACUACAUGUUUGUUACCAGUCUUUAGGGCCAGACUCGCGCUGUUUAUUCCAGACCACGACUCUGGCUAAGGAGAGCUGAUGGAGGAGCCAAGACUCUGGAGGACGACAUCACUCCACCAACCAGGAUCCUUACAAAUUACGUUUGUAACCAGACCAGGAAUCUGGAGGACUGAUGGAGAAGCCAUACAUCUGGAAGGCAAAUCCUGAGGACCACCAGGACUCUACCAUCAAGGAUUCCUCAUAAAUGUGCAUUAUCUGGACAUAGUGGACUAGACACAGCUGAGCUGAACCUCACCUGAUCCUGUUUGGUCGGGGGUAGACACACCUGAGCUGAACCCGACCUGAUCCUGACAUCCUGCUGGUCCCGUCUCCUCAGUUCAUCGGAGCCUCGUCCUCCAGAAGACCUGCUGAGCUCAGCAGUCUGAGGCUGAUGGAUCAAUGACCUCCAGUCGGAGUGAUCUUCUUGACCCCCCCACCUAACCGUGUGCUUCCACACGCCUUUCCCUCACGUCUGUCACUAACCUCACUACUUCACUACUCUCUACUGCUUCCUCUUCUUUUUCCUUCUCUGUGGUUCGAACCUUUACACGGAAGGCGCGUCUUCCUGCCCUCAGAGGGUUUAGCGUUAGGGUUGAGUGUCAGGGUUUAGAGUCAGGGACAGAGCUGGUCAGGGAGGACUGCUUUUACAAAAACCUCUUCACUUGCUUUCGGAAUGGUGGUGACAUUUUGAAAAGAUUCAUUUGGGAAAAUGUUUUCCUCUGCUUUCCUUUACAAAAUUGUAUCAAACUUAUGUCAAGUGUUUUUGUUUAUAUAUUAAAAUCCCACAUUGACUUCUACAUGUUUGUUACGGUUCAUUUAAUUGUCCUUUAACUUGGUUAAUGUCAAGCUAAACUCCCGCAAUACAUUUAAUAUACAUGAUUGUUAUUCUGCAAUGUUCACAUAAUCCAUUUUGUAAAAAUAUGAAACCUCCAUAUUACUACUAAAUUCAAGCCUAUUCAUGUAUUUAACAAUGUACAUACUGCCCCGCAGGCCAUUCUCUGCUACUACGACACGUUCAAUCCACCAACCCGUCUCACAUCAUGUACUAUAGCUACGUUGGUUCAAACGGAAAAUGUAGUUUGGUGUGAGACUGUUGUCCAGCAGAGGGAGCUGUUAUACACCUUAAUUAUACAGAAAUGUCUGUUUACAUUUUAAACCGUUCAUGGGCUGGUCUAGUUUGUCUGCAAAUAACUCUGCCUCCAGCAACAGGAUUGGUUGAAACAUAUGAAGUGAAGGAAAUAAAAGCCCAGUUCACCAGAUCUGAGGUCAGCUGCGGUCAGAUUUUGGAUUGAAUGUAUUGAGCUCGGAGGAGCUCAAUACAUUGAGGAGGAGCACGGCAGGACGCGUGUUUACCUGGUCGAUUAGUCCCUGAACGCAGACCCUGAACCCAGACAUCCUAA